rnacentral:rRNA from 1 species
AGUGAACGCUGGCGGUAGGCCUAACACAUGCAAGUCGAACGGCAGCACAGUAAGAGCUUGCUCUUACGGGUGGCGAGUGGCGGACGGGUGAGGAAUACAUCGGAAUCUACUUUUUCGUGGGGGAUAACGUAGGGAAACUUACGCUAAUACCGCAUACGACCUACGGGUGAAAGCAGGGGAUCUUCGGACCUUGCGCGAUUGAAUGAGCCGAUGUCGGAUUAGCUAGUUGGCGGGGUAAAGGCCCACCAAGGCGACGAUCCGUAGCUGGUCUGAGAGGAUGAUUAGCCACACUGGAACUGAGACACGGUCCCGACUCCUACGGGAGGCAGCAGUGGGGAAUAUUGGACAAUGGGCGAAAGCCUGAUCCAGCCAUACCGCGUGGGUGAAGAAGGCCUUCGGGUUGUAAAGCCCUUUUGUUGGGAAAGAAAAGCAGCAGGUUAAUACCCCGCUGUUCUGACGGUACCCAAAGAAUAAGCACCGGCUAACUUCGUG